rnacentral:rRNA from 1 species
GAUGAACGCUGGCGGCGUGCCUAAUACAUGCAAGUCGAGCGAACAGACGAGGAGCUUGCUCCUCUGACGUUAGCGGCGGACGGGUGAGUAACACGUGGAUAACCUACCUAUAAGACUGGGAGAACUUCGGGAAACCGGAGCGAAUACCGGAUAAUAUAUUGAACCGCAUGGUUCAAUAGUGAAAGACGGUUUUGCUGUCACUUAUGGAUGGAUCCGCGCCGCAUUAGCUAGUUGGUAAGGUAACGGCUUACCAAGGCAACGAUGCGUAGCCGACCUGAGAGGGUGAUCGGCCACACUGGAACUGAGACACGGUCCAGACUCCUACGGGAGGCAGCAGUAGGGAAUCUUCCGCAAUGGGCGAAAGCCUGACGGAGCAACGCCGCGUGAGUGAUGAAGGUCUUCGGAUCGUAAACCUCUGUUAUUAGGGAAGAACAAAUGUGUAAGUAACUAUGCACGUCUUGACGGUACCUAAUCAGAAAGCCACGGCUAACUACGUG